AAAUUGAAGAGUUUGAUCAUGGCUCAGAUUGAACGCUGGCGGCAGGCCUAACACAUGCAAGUCGAACGGUAACAGGAAGCAGCUUGCUGCUUUGCUGACGAGUGGCGGACGGGUGAGUAAUGUCUGGGAAACUGCCUGAUGGAGGGGGAUAACUACUGGAAACGGUGGCUAAUACCGCAUAAUGUCGCAAGACCAAAGAGGGGGACCUUCGGGCCUCUUGCCAUCAGAUGUGCCCAGAUGGGAUUAGCUUGUUGGUGAGGUAACGGCUCACCAAGGCGACGAUCCCUAGCUGGUCUGAGAGGAUGACCAGCCACACUGGAACUGAGACACGGUCCAGACUCCUACGGGAGGCAGCAGUGGGGAAUAUUGCACAAUGGGCGCAAGCCUGAUGCAGCCAUGCCGCGUGUAUGAAGAAGGCCUUCGGGUUGUAAAGUACUUUCAGCGGGGAGGAAGGUGUUGCGGUUAAUAACCGCAGCAAUUGACGUUACCCGCAGAAGAAGCACCGGCUAACUCCGUGCCAGCAGCCGCGGUAAUACGGAGGGUGCAAGCGUUAAUCGGAAUUACUGGGCGUAAAGCGCACGCAGGCGGUCUGUCAAGUCGGAUGUGAAAUCCCCGGGCUCAACCUGGGAACUGCAUUCGAAACUGGCAGGCUUGAGUCUUGUAGAGGGGGGUAGAAUUCCAGGUGUAGCGGUGAAAUGCGUAGAGAUCUGGAGGAAUACCGGUGGCGAAGGCGGCCCCCUGGACAAAGACUGACGCUCAGGUGCGAAAGCGUGGGGAGCAAACAGGAUUAGAUACCCUGGUAGUCCACGCCGUAAACGAUGUCUACUUGGAGGUUGUGCCCUUGAGGCGUGGCUUCCGGAGCUAACGCGUUAAGUAGACCGCCUGGGGAGUACGGCCGCAAGGUUAAAACUCAAAUGAAUUGACGGGGGCCCGCACAAGCGGUGGAGCAUGUGGUUUAAUUCGAUGCAACGCGAAGAACCUUACCUGGUCUUGACAUCCACAGAACUUUCCAGAGAUGGAUUGGUGCC
rnacentral:rRNA from 1 species